GAUGAACGCUGGCGGCGUGCCUAAUACAUGCAAGUCGAGCGAACGGACGAGAAGCUUGCUUCUCUGAUGUUAGCGGCGGACGGGUGAGUAACACGUGGAUAACCUACCUAUAAGACUGGGAUAACUUCGGGAAACCGGAGCUAAUACCGGAUAAUAUUUUGAACCGCAUGGUUCAAAAGUGAAAGACGGUCUUGCUGUCACUUAUAGAUGGAUCCGCGCUGCAUUAGCUAGUUGGUAAGGUAACGGCUUACCAAGGCAACGAUGCAUAGCCGACCUGAGAGGGUGAUCGGCCACACUGGAACUGAGACACGGUCCAGACUCCUACGGGAGGCAGCAGUAGGGAAUCUUCCGCAAUGGGCGAAAGCCUGACGGAGCAACGCCGCGUGAGUGAUGAAGGUCUUCGGAUCGUAAAACUCUGUUAUUAGGGAAGAACAUAUGUGUAAGUAACUGUGCACAUCUUGACGGUACCUAAUCAGAAAGCCACGGCUAACUACGUGCCAGCAGCCGCGGUAAUACGUAGGUGGCAAGCGUUAUCCGGAAUUAUUGGGCGUAAAGCGCGCGUAGGCGGUUUUUUAAGUCUGAUGUGAAAGCCCACGGCUCAACCGUGGAGGGUCAUUGGAAACUGGAAAACUUGAGUGCAGAAGAGGAAAGUGGAAUUCCAUGUGUAGCGGUGAAAUGCGCAGAGAUAUGGAAGAACACCAGUGGCGAAGGCGACUUUCUGGUCUGUAACUGACGCUGAUGUGCGAAAGCGUGGGGAUCAAACAGGAUUAGAUACCCUGGUAGUCCACGCCGUAAACGAUGAGUGCUAAGUGUUAGGGGGUUUCCGCCCCUUAGUGCUGCAGCUAACGCAUUAAGCACUCCGCCUGGGGAGUACGACCGCAAGGUUGAAACUCAAAGGAAUUGACGGGGACCCGCACAAGCGGUGGAGCAUGUGGUUUAAUUCGAAGCAACGCGAAGAACCUUACCAAAUCUUGACAUCCUUUGACAACUCUAGAGAUAGAGCCUUCCCCUUCGGGGGACAAAGUGACAGGUGGUGCAUGGUUGUCGUCAGCUCGUGUCGUGAGAUGUUGGGUUAAGUCCCGCAACGAGCGCAACCCUUAAGCUUAGUUGCCAUCAUUAAGUUGGGCACUCUAAGUUGACUGCCGGUGACAAACCGGAGGAAGGUGGGGAUGACGUCAAAUCAUCAUGCCCCUUAUGAUUUGGGCUACACACGUGCUACAAUGGACAAUACAAAGGGCAGCGAAACCGCGAGGUCAAGCAAAUCCCAUAAAGUUGUUCUCAGUUCGGAUUGUAGUCUGCAACUCGACUACAUGAAGCUGGAAUCGCUAGUAAUCGUAGAUCAGCAUGCUACGGUGAAUACGUUCCCGGGUCU
rnacentral:rRNA from 1 species